UAUGUCGGUGGCAAACCUAAAAUAUCUUCAGGCGUCGGCCGCACCCCGUCCCCCGCGUGUCAACCCCCUCUCUAUCUCUCUCGUGCCGAAACCUAACUUCCUCUGCCGAUCAAAGCGUCGUCUUCAUCCUCGUGCCCUCGUCUUGUUUUGUGGUCUCUGUUUGUUUUGUUCUUGCUUUGUGCCGUAGUCUCUGUUUUGUGGCUCUGUCUUCGUCGUCGUCUCACACUCUCUUUCUCACGCCGAAACCCUAGCUUCUACUGCCGAUCAAAGCGUCGUUUUCGUCUACGGCUCAAGUGAAAAUGUUCAAGAACACGUUCCAGUCUGGAUUUUUGUCCAUUCUAUACAGCCUUGGGAGCAAACCUUUACAGAUAUGGGACAAAGAAGUUGUCAAUGGCCAUGUAAAGCGACUGCAGGAUGAAGACAUACAAUCCAAUGUCCUCGAAAUAGUUGGGUCAAAUAUACAAUCCACAUACAUCACAUGCCCAGCUGACCCAUCUGCAACACUUGGUAUAAAACUACCAUUUUUGGUAGUGAUUGUGAAGAAUCUAAAGAAAUAUUUUACAUUUGAGAUUCAAGUUUUGGAUGAUAAGAAUGUCAGGCGGCGUUUCCGAGCUUCAAAUUUUCAAGCUGUCACUCGAGUGAAACCAUAUAUCUGCACCAUGCCACUGAGGAUGGACGAGGGCUGGAAUCAAAUUCAGUUGAAUCUAGCUGAUUUUACCAGGAGAGCCUAUGGGACCAACUAUGUCGAGACUUUGCGUGUUCAGGUUCAUGCAAACUGCCGCCUGAGGAGGAUAUAUUUCUCUGACCGCCUAUACUCGGAGGAAGAGCUCCCGCCAGAGUUUAAGUUGUAUCUGCCCAUGCAGAAAGCAUGACAUAUUUCACGACAGGAGAGGCUCCACAAGCAGUUAUAUCCGAGAGAGUUGGAUUUUGAGAUCUAUGUUGUGAACCAUUUUUACUGCCAAUUAAUCUCGUCUUAUCUAUCUUUAUAAGAUGAUCCACAGAUACAGUGGCACUCCACCACGUGUACAGUUGAAGAAUUUGGUGUCUAGUGGCAAUGGCUUCACUAAUCCAGGCUUCAACCUUUAGUAUUGAAAUGUAGAGAAAGAACGCCACCAGUAUGUGCCAGGUGACCAUUACCCACAAGAGAGAUGUCCAUAUCUUACUUAAAUGGAUGGAUUGAGCAUUUAUUUUAGAUGCUUCAUUCACAUCAGAAACCUUUUUCAAAUUUAGUAGGAAAUCUGACAAACGAAGAAGACUGUCCAAGGACUCAACUCUGAGUUGACUACAGGUGUGGGCUUACAGGGCUAGGGCUCAUAAACCCUCUCAUUCAUUCAACAAUCGGGCUGGUCGGCUACUCUGCAGUUUCCAGAAAAAUGGAAAUUCAAGAUUUGUAUUUGUGUUUGAAAGAUUAACUUAGUAGUACGUGCAUUCGAGAUUGGAUGAUAUUAAGUGUGCUAUUAUAGAAUCUCGGUUGAUGAGAAUGCUCAUCAAACGACUCUUUAUGUCAUUGAUAUAUGACAAGACGAUUACAACCA